rnacentral:miRNA from 1 species
AACCCUGUAGACCCGAGUUUGCA